CUUUCUGCCCUCUGCCAUGUGAGGUCACAGUGUUCCUCCCUCCUGAGGAUGCAGUGUUCAUGAAAGCAAACACUGGGCCCUCACCAGGCAACAAACCUGCUGGUGCCUUCAUCUUGGACUUCCCAGCCUUCGGAACUGUUAAGAAGCUCCACUGCGCUUUGUCCAUUGCAAGUUGAGAAGUGAGGCCCCAGCUGUCACAUACAUAGAGACGGGGUUUCUCCAUGUUGAGGCUGGUCUCAAACUCCUGACCUCAGGUGAUUCACCCGCCUCGGCCUCCCAAACUGCUGGGAUUAUAGGCAUAAGCCACCGCGCCCGGCCUUAGGCUCCAUCACAAGAGGGAGCCCCAUUGCUAGUCCCCAUCCUCAAAGCCUCUGCGUGAUGUUGUCUACUGUUACUCUUCACUACCCUGUGGGAGCCAAAGCCCUGGACAUAAGAACAGAAGGCAAUGGUGGCUGAGAGGAAGAACUGACACCUUUGUGCUAUCAGAGCACUUUGCAGAGGAGCUGUUAGUGGCCCUGUAGGAGUCUGCUGGCCAUACAUCUGGGUGUCAAAUCAAGAGAGCAUGAGAAGUUGGACAGGAAAGGUCCAAGGCAAAAUGGUUACUAAAGGCCAUCCCUGAUCCUGACCCUAAAAGAAGAAAAGGCCCUUUGCUCUUGGCAUGCUUUUGCAGGAGUGUCUCAGUCUGUUUGGGCUGCUAUAACAUUGACUGGGUGAUCUGCCUGCCUGGCCUCCCAAAGUGCUGGGGUUACAGGUGUGAGCCGCUGCACCAGGCCUUGAGGUCAGGAGUUCGAGACCAGCCUGGCCAACAUGGUGAAACCUGUCUUUACUAAAAAUACAGAAAUUAGCCAGGCAUGGAGGCGCAUGCCUGUAAUCCCAGCUACUGGGGAGGCUGAGGCAGGAGAAUCGCUUGAACCCAGAAGGUGGAGGUUGCGGUGAGCCCAGAUAGUGCCAUUGCACUCUAGCCUGGCCAACAAGAGUGAAACUCUGUCUCAAAAAAUAAAUAAACAAAC
rnacentral:lncRNA from 1 species